CACGUAGGGGGCAAGCGUUGUCCGGAUUUAUUGGGCGUAAAGAGCUCGUAGGUGGUUCGGUAAGUCGGGUGUUAAACCCCCAGGCUCAACCUGGGGACGCCACUCGAUACUGCUGUGACUUGAGUCCGGUAGGGGAGCGUGGAAUUCCUGGUGUAGCGGUGAAAUGCGCAGAUAUCAGGAGGAACACCAGUGGCGAAGGCGGCUCACUGGUCCGGUUCUGACGCUGAGGCGCGAAAGCGUGGGGAGCAAACAGG
rnacentral:rRNA from 1 species